rnacentral:rRNA from 1 species
UAAGAAUGGGGCAAGCGUUGUUCGGAAUCACUGGGCUUAAAGCGUGCGUAGGCGGACAUGAAAGUCAGGAGUGAAAUCCCGGGGCUCAACCUCGGAAUUGCUUUUGAAACUCCAUGUCUGGAAUCCGGGAGAGGUUAGCAGAAUUCCGAGUGUAGAGGUGAAAUUCGCAGAUAUUCGGAGGAAUACCAGUGGCGAAGGCGGCUAACUGGACCGGCAUUGACGCUGAGGCACGAAAGCGUGGGGAGCAAACAGG